GACGAACGCUGGCGGCGUGCUUAACACAUGCAAGUCUAACGGAAAGGCCCCAUCUUGCUGGCGCACUCGAGUGGCGAAUGGGUGAGUAACACGUGGGCGACCUGCCCUGCACUUCGGGAUAAGCCUGGGUAACUGGGUUUACUACCGGAUCGGAUCGUCCCUUGGGGUGUGUGGUGGAGUGGUUUUUCCUGUGUGGGGUGAGCCCGCGGACUAUCAGUUUGUUGGUGGGGUAAUGGACUACCAAGACGGCGACGGGUAGGCGGGCUGGGAGGGGGGACGGUCAGGUUAGGACUGAGAUACGGCCCGGACUCCUACGGGACGCGACGGUGGGGAAGAGUACACUAUGGGGGAGGCCCAGAUGCAGCGACGCGGCGUGGGGGAUGAAGGCCUGCGGGUUGGAAACUACGUUCGCUAGGGACGAAGCGUUUUGUGACGGUACCUGGAGAAGAAGCACCGGCUAACUACGUG
rnacentral:rRNA from 1 species